UACGUAGGGACCGAGCGUUGUCCGGAAUCAUUGGGCGUAAAGAGCGUGUAGGCGGCUAUUUAAGUCCUGCGUGAAAUCCUGCGGCUCAACCGCAGACGGUCGUGGGAAACUGGAUGGCUAGAGUGCGGGAGAGGAGAGUGGAAUUCCCGGUGUAGCGGUGAAAUGCGCAGAUAUCAGGAGGAACACCAAUGGCGAAGGCAGCUCGCUGGGACGUGACUGACGCUGAGACGCGAAAGCGUGGGGAGCAAACAGG
rnacentral:rRNA from 1 species